AAUACCCAUACUGCCGAGGCGGGCGGAGCCGGCUGUGGCUCCGAGAACAGCGCACGUGAGGAGGGCGCGAGAGUCCCCGAAAAAAGCGGGGCUGUCAAAAGAAGCCUGUGUUGAUUGGCUGCCCGAGUAUCCUCCCUCCCCGCCGCGGGCCCCACCCCGCAGAGGCGCAGCUAAGCAGAGGCGGCUUGGGGUGUAUACACACGCCGCGGGCCCACCUCCCCGCCCACCCCCCCACCCCCGCCGGCGCCUCAGGAAAGGUGGUGGAUGAGGGACUCGCCUGCGGCUCCCCCGGCCUGAAGCAACUCCAUCCGCUCCUGCAGCUGCCGGACGUGCGCCUCCAGGUCUCGGUUACGGGCCUCGGCCUCGCGGAGUUGGCUACAGGGGAGGUAAGGAUCAUGAGCCCUUCGGGACUUCGGCUAGAGAGGCUGCUAAAGGUAGUGACUGUCCCCGACUCCCGACCCUGACCUGGCGAAGUUCUGGUUGGCCGUUCGGAUGGCCUCCAGCUCCUGGCUCAGGCUCUGUCGGGUGAGCACCUCCUCCUCCAGGGCCUCCUGGAGUUCCCGCAGCGUCACCUGGGCCUCUGCCACCGCCUCCGGAAUGGCCUCCGGAACUGCCGCUUCAGCCUGGGUAUGGGAACCGGGCUUAGGGCUGCCUGUGGCUCCUGGAGCAUUCGAGACUUAGGCAUAGGUUCCAGGCCUGGGAUCCUCCUUUGACCUCUAUUCCUGCACCCCCGAGAUCUUUCUGGAAUCCCCACAGCUCCUGCAGUGAUCCAAGCCCCCUCCUUCCCUAACCCAGCCCAGCCCUCAUCUCCAGCCUUUAAUCUGGUCUCCUCCCAUCCACCUUCCACACCAAAGGGCUGUUCCUGUAACACUACGCAGCUUGACCAUGUCCCUCCCCUGGAGAAUCUCUCCGGCCCCUCAGUGCCCUCAGGAGGAGGCCCACCACAUGAAAACUAAAGGCCCUGUCUGGUGUGCGUCUGCUGGCCCUCCAGCCUCCCCGCUCCUCACUCCUCACCCUCCUUCCUCCUGGAACAGCGCAGCCUUACUACCCUCCUUGCAUGUUUCAGAGCACACCAGCUGGUUCUCCCCUCAGAGCCCUUACCCUUCUCUUUGCUGACCAAUGGGUGGUCCUCCUGCUUCUCCAGGGCUUCCCCUCCCCAGAGUUCCCCUCCAUGCACACUCACUGACCUGUUUUCAUUUCUCUGUGGGGAUCAUUUCUGACUGAAGUAACCUUGUCUCUACUUUGUUUUCCAUCUCUUUCUGUCAAGGAACCUCCCAGAGGGCCUAGCACUCCAUGGCGCACACUAUCCCUGAAGGCCUCCGCUUUUCUCUCGAUUCGUCCCUCACUGACCCCCUCCUCUAAAGACUCACCGCUUCCUCUGGUGGGGCCACCGUGGGUUCCAGGCUGGGCUCUUGCAAUGGCUCAGGCAGCGCCUCGGCCUCCAGUUCCAUGGGCGUGGAGCCCGGGAUCUCAUCAUCCCUGGGGAGAGGAAGAGGGCGAGGGGAGGAAGAGCCGGCCUCACGCCCGAUCCUCUGCGUUUACAGCCAGGACUCCCUAGCCUGUGCCCUGGGGCAGCCAGACCUGAAGGCUCCAGGCUUGAGGAGGGGGAGGGGCAGAGUGAAGGGAAUAAAUGGCCAGGCUGGUGAGACAGGUCCUCCUCUUGUUAGGAAAAGUCCUGCGCCUGGCAUGGCCUCAGGCCCCUGGAAGCUGGCCUCUGCACCUUCCUUGGGAACCUGGGGUCAGGAAACCCGUGUUCUAGGAUCUGCCCAUCUCCGUCUCCAUGUGCGCUUUACAGGCUCUUCUCCUAAGGGCCUCAGAAAGUGAGGGAGACACUCCCAGCUCUGGCCACCUCCAAAGGGGUGGUCUUCAGACUGAGGGUUGGACCCCAAGCCUGACUCUAGACAGCAGCCACCCCUCCCACCCCCAGACCCAGGUGCUGGGAGGAAGACAGACCCUCCCAAGGAAUAUGAAAUUGCAGUAAAAGUGAUGUUCCCUCCAACCCAGCAGUCCCUCUUGUAGAAAUAUGUCUCAAGGACCCAAUGAUGCUCGACAAGCGCCAAGACCAACCUGUGGCUGUUCAUCCAGCCUGGGUCAUGGCAGAGGCGGGUUAGCUGAGUCCUGACCCGCCCAGUAAGGAGAACACUCCCCAGCGGGUCAGGAUUGUGUUAUAGUUUGUUCAAGGAAUGGCACUUGCGGUACACUGUCCAAUAACAAAACAGAUCAGAAUACAGCAUGUUCUCGCAGCUGGUAAGUACGUGUGCUGUGAGCCAGGGACACACAAGGCCGCUGCUGGCGGCCUUCCUUUUUCUCAUCCCUAUUUUCUAAUAUACUUGUGAUAAGCAAUGUAUUAUUUUCAGAAUCAAUGUUUUAAGAAGGCUUUGUGGUUAUGUAA